rnacentral:tRNA from 1 species
GCUUUUGGUUCAGUGGUAGAAUGCUCGCCUGCCACGCGGGCGGUUCGAUUCCCGGCCGAUGCA